UCCAGACUCCUACGGGAGGCAGCAGUGGGGAAUAUUGCACAAUGGGGGGAACCCUGAUGCAGCGACGCCGCGUGGGUGAAGGAGUACUUCGGUACGUAAAGCCCUGUCAGCAGGAAAGAAAAUGACGGUACCUGACUAAGAAGCCCCGGCUAACUACGUGCCAGCAGCCGCGGUAAUACGUAGGGGGCAAGCGUUAUCCGGAUUUACUGGGUGUAAAGGGAGCGUAGACGGCAGUGCAAGUCCGGAGUGAAAGCGCGGGGCUCAACCCUGGGACUGCUCUGGAAACUGUAAAGCUGGAGUGCGGGAGGGGCAGGCGGAAUUCCUGGUGUAGCGGUGAAAUGCGUAGAUAUCAGGAGGAACACCGGCGGCGAAGGCGGCCUGCUGGACCGUAACUGACGUUGAGGCUCGAAAGCGUGGGGAGCAAACAGGAUUAGAUCCCCUCGUA
rnacentral:rRNA from 1 species